AGACAGCAGCAUACCACCCUGCAUACCACUGCUGGCUUGCUUCUGAAGCUAAGCAGGGUUGGUCCCUAGAUGGGAGACCAGAUGCUGCUGGAAGUGGUGUUGG
ensembl:rRNA 5S_rRNA 5S ribosomal RNA